rnacentral:rRNA from 1 species
UGGGGAAUAUUGCACAAUGGGGGAAACCCUGAUGCAGCGACGCCGCGUGAGCGAUGAAGGCUUUCGAGUCGUAAAGCUCUGUCCUAUGGGAAGAUAAUGACGGUACCAUAGAAGAAAGCCCCGGCUAAUUACGUGCCAGCAGCCGCGGUAAUACGUAAGGGGCGAGCGUUGUCCGGAAUUAUUGGGCGUAAAGAGUGCGUAGGCGGCAAAUUAAGUCAGAUGUGAAAACGAAGGGCUCAACCCAUAGAUUGCAUCUGAAACUGAUAUGCUUGAGUCAAGGAGAGGAAAGUGGAAUUCCUAGUGUAGCGGUGGAAGGCGUAGAUAUUAGGAGGAAUACCGGUGGCGAAGGCGACUUUCUGGACUUGAACUGACGCUGAGGCACGAAAGCGUGGGGAGCAAACAGG